GACGGACGCUGGCGGCGUGCUUAACACAUGCAAGUCGAACGGAAAGGCCCCAGCUUGCUGGGGUCCUCGAGUGGCGAACGGGUGAGUAACACGUGGGUGAUCUGCCCUGCACUCUGGGAUAAGCCUGGGAAACUGGGUCUAAUACCGGAUAGGACCGUGCUUUAGUGUGUGCGGUGGAAAGUUUUUCGGUGCAGGAUGAGCCCGCAGCCUAUCAGCUUGUUGGUGGGGUAAUGGCCUACCAAGGCGGCGACGGGUAGCCCGCAUGAGAGGGUGUACGGCCACAUUGGGACUGAGACACGGCCCAGACUCCUACGGGAGGCAGCAGUGGGGAAUAUUGCACAAUGGGCGCAAGCCUGAUGCAGCGACGCCGCGUGGGGGAUGACGGCCUUCGGGUUGUAAACCCCUUUCGGCAGGGACGAAGCUUUUGUGACGGUACCUGCAUAAGAAGCACCGGCUAACUACGUG
rnacentral:rRNA from 1 species